rnacentral:rRNA from 1 species
GUGCCAGCCGCCGCGGUAAUACGUAGGGUGCGAGCGUUGUCCGGAAUUAUUGGGCGUAAAGGGCUCGUAGGCGGUUUGUCGCGUCGGGAGUGAAAACCAUGGGCUUAACUCAUGGCUUGCUUCCGAUACGGGCAGACUAGAGGCAUGCAGGGGAGAACGGAAUUCCUGGUGUAGCGGUGAAAUGCGCAGAUAUCAGGAGGAACACCGGUGGCGAAGGCGGUUCUCUGGGCAUGUCCUGACGCUGAGGAGCGAAAGUGUGGGGAGCGAACAGGAUUAGAAACCCCGGUAGUCC